GCUGACCGCUCACAGUUGACAACAGGCGAGGACUCGGGACUGGAAGUGAGAACUGACGCGGUCCUUUAUGUCCAUAAAACGCGUCUGUGGUAAUGUCGACAGCUGAGGAGCGUUCCAGGAUUCAGGAUGACAUCGUGUGUUUGCCCCUGUCUGUCUGUUUGUCAGCAAGAUGAUACAAAAGCUACUGAAUGGAUUCUCACUGAGAGAACCCAAUACAUGGUGCCUGAACUGGACUGUGACUCCGCCUGCGAUGACUCAAGUUAAAUUCCUCCUUUCACUGAAACGAAAGAGCCUGCAUAUAAAUGGUCAAUUUAAGUUGUAAAUGAAACUGAUACAGGGGAAUGCUUUUGUGUUUCUCCAGUAUGUGGGUGAUAAUGUAUGAUGAGUUGGUUUUGUAACCUUUGUGCAUGGAAUCUAACAUUAAAUAUAGGUAUUACGGUCAAUGUAGGGGACAAGCAUUCAGAUAAUCCAAUGCUGAUUGCGAGCUUCAUUCUCAAGUUGGUGUAUAACUUACUGAAUCCUACGUGAUAAAGACGAUAGCGAGAUACACUCCAAACAGAGAGUUGGAUGAGUGUCACUCAUGUCAGGCUGGGGUUUUGCAUUGCGAUUACAUUGUAACUUUGGAAACAACAACCAGCAAGAGAAGGUAGCAGGUCAUCUUUUCCCGCAAACAGGGACUUAAAAACAUAAAUAAACCCAGGAAAAACUGUGAUUAUUUUACUUUCCAACAAGAAGAAGAAGAAGAAGACACAGUGGAUGGCAGUAAUACACCUUGACGUUGGUUUCCAUCGGCCAAUAAACCAAACAAAGAAGAAGAAGAACCAGCUGUAAAUCAAAUAUACAGCUAUGUAUUGACUAUAUAGUGCAAAGCAAAUCAUUUUUUGCACCAGCAUACCCAGGAUGUUAAAAACCUUAUGGAUGUUUUAAUGGGACACUAAUGCAGGUUGGAUAUCUGCUGGUGGCAUCAAUGGAUUGUGUCCUAGUGUGUCUGUGUAUGCGAGAGAAUUUACCUUUUUUAGAAUUACAAACACAAUAGCAGAGAAGUUGUUAACGUAUUAUAUGACAAAGUGAUUAUCAGAUGGAAUACGCACAUAUCCCAAAUCCCUUCUUCACUAAUACGGGCAGACCACGAGUAGCCCAUGCGUCUGUCUGUAAGAACCAUAGCAACCACGUCCCGUUGCUCCCCAUAGCUGCUUUCAAUAGUUUCAUUCUAAUCCGAAGUUUAUAUUUAUCUCUAUUCUUACAUAAUUUAAUAUUCAAAAUGUACUUUGAUCAAAGUUGACUGGGUGCGUCAGUGAGUAAUGUGGGUGGGCUGAUGCCGCCUGUGGCACAUUACUGGCUUCAUGACUGUGGCAAAAUCUACGUCUUCUCAUCUGAAAGCAGAGCAUCAACAUUGGAAUGUCAAAAAAAAUAGACUCAAUGCUAACACUACAUUUCUUCUGAUUUACAGGGAUUAAGUGCCUGUGAAGAGGAUGAAAAC